UAGUAACGGCGAGUGAACAGGGACGAGUCCAGCGCUGAAUCUCGACGUCUCGGCGUCGCGACGUGUAGCGUAUAGGCGAUGUGCUUGGCCUUGGCCGAAGGCACAAGUUUCCCAUGACCGGGGCGCCAGAGAAGGUGAUAGACCUGUAGCGCCUGAGGCCGUGGCUGAUUGCACCGUCUUGGAGUCGGGUUGUUUGGGAUCGCAGCCCAAAGAAGGUGGUAAACUUCAUCUAAGACUAAAUAUCCCCUCGAGACCGAUAGCGAACAAGUACCGUGAGGGAAAGUUGAAAAGCACUUUGAAGAGAGAGUUAAAGAGGACGUGAAACCGGUAGGAUGGAAACGGAUAGAGCUAGCGAAGUCGCUUGCAUUCAGCCAAAGGUCUGUGGUCGCCAGCGUCGGGUUUCCUUACGGUGCUCGGCGGUUGUCCGGCCGCGGACUGAGGUGCAUUUGCGGGCGUAUGCGCUGAGACUUGUGGGCCAGCUGCUGGACCCGUGUUCUAGAGGCCGUCCUCUGGGCGGAACCUGGUCGCGGUGACGGCUGUUUGACCUGCUCGUAUGUGGUGCGGCCUACGGACCUGGUCAGCGUUGCUGUCUGCUCGUGUUGGUAUCGCAUGCGAUGCCUCGCUUGUGGGCCGUGGCGUUGGCCGGGGUCCACGCGCCUUCUCUCGGUGUAGAAGCUGGUCAUCUCUCCGACCCGUCUUGAAACACGGACCAAGGAGUUUAGCGUAUGCGCGAGUCAUUGGGUGCCGAAAACCCAUGGGCGCAAUGAAAGUAAAGGCUCGGUCGCCGGGCUGACAUGCGAGCGCUGUGGCCUCGGCCGCUGUGUGCAGCAUGGUCCCGUUCUGGUCGCUUGCGACGGAGCGGAGACAGAGCGUAUGCGCUGAGACCCGAAAGAUGGUGAACUAUUCCUGAGCAGGACGAAGCCAGAGGAAACUCUGGUGGAAGUCCGAAGCGAUUCUGACGUGCAAAUCGGAUC
rnacentral:rRNA from 1 species